AUCACGCGGACGUCAGGCAAAAUCAUAAUGCCGCCCGAAUUCGGCCCAUCCCCCGCCGUGCUGGGCUGCGAUCAAAAGGAAACUGCGUUGACCCGGUCCUUUCGGCACCGGAUUCCUCAGCCCCCAGCCCCCCGGGGUCGUCAGGAUCGGGUCUAACUCUUCGCAGUAAACUGGAUCCCCAAUCCUUCGGCCGGCGCAAGCUGGCCGUUUU
rfam:Afipia broomeae ATCC 49717 genomic scaffold supercont1.3, whole genome shotgun sequence.